AUGCUGAUUUGCUGCUCAAGAAACAUUUCUGUUUUUUAUCAAUGUUGAAAACUAUUCAGAGCCCCACACAUGACACGCAAGAAAACAUUUAUAAUUUGUGCACACAAUUUACUAAUUAGUUCCCUCAAUGUACUAAAGCAUGAACACAAUUACUAUUUAUUUCCCUCUAUUUAUAAACAUUUUCCCUCUAUUGUGCACAAUUUAUAAUACGAAAUUGUAAUCCUGUGCACGUUUUACAUCGAGGGAAUUAAUUAUUUAAUCAUACGCACUAUUUAUAAAUUGAGGGAACAAAAUAGUAAUUGUAUGCACAUUUUAGUACAUUGAGGGAACAUAUUAUUAAAUCAUAUGCACAGUUUAUAAAUUGAGGGAAUGAAAUAGUUAACAUGCACAUUUUGGUAAAUCGAAUGAACGAAUUAGUAAAUUGUGAGCCCAAUUUAUAAAUCAAAGGAAACAAAAUAGUAAUCAAGUGAACUUUAGUACAUCAAGAGAAGAAAUAAGUAAAUUGUAUGCUCAAUUUAUAAAUUAAGGGAACUAAAUAUUAAUCAUGUGCAUGUUUUAGUAAAUAAACGGAACAAAUUAGUAAUCGCGUGCACAAUUUAUAAAUCGAGGGAAGAAAAUGGUAAUCAUGCAUGUUUUAGUAAAUAAACGGUAUGAAUUAGUAAUCGCAUGCACAAUUUAUAAAUCGAGGGAACGAAAUAGUAAUCAUGAAUGUUUUAUUAAAUAAACAGAACGAAUUAGUAAUCGAGUGCACAAUUUAUACAUCGAUGGAAUGAAACAUUAAUCAUGUGCAUGUUUUAGUAAAUAAACAGAACGAAUUAGUAAUCGCGUGCACAAUUUAUAAAUCAAGGGAACAAAAUAGUAAUCAUGAAUGUUUUAGUAAAUAAACAGAACGAAUAAGUAAUUGCGUGCACAAUGUAUAUAUUGAGGGAACUAAAUAGUAAUCGUAUGCAUGUUUUAGUAAAUAAACAGAACGAAUAAGUAAUCGCGUGCACAAUUUAUACAUCGAUGGAAUGAAACAUUAAUCGUGCAUGUUUUAGUAAAUAAACGGAACGAAUAAGUAAUCGCGUGCACAAUGUAUAUAUUGAGGGAACUAAAUAGUAAUCAUCUGCGUGUUUUAGUAAAUAAACAGAGUGAAUUAGUAAUCGCGUGCACAAUGUAUAUAUUGAGGGAACUAAAUAGUAAUCGUGCGUGUUUUAGUAAAUAAACGGAAUUAAUUAGUAAUCGCGUGCACAAUUUAUAAAUCAAGGGAACAAAAUAGUAAUCAUGAAUGUUUUAGUAAAUUAACGGAACAAAUAAGUAAUCGCGUGCACAAUGUAUAUAUUGAGGGAACUAAAUAGUAAUCGUGUGCAUGUUUUAGUAAAUAAAUGGAAUGAAUUAGUAAUCGUGUGAACAAUGUAUAUAUUGAGGGAACUAAAUAGUAAUCGUGUGCAUGUUUUAGUAAAUAAACGGAAUGAAUUAGUAAUCGCGUGCACAAUAUAUAUAUUGAGGGAACUAAAUAGUAAUUGUGUGCAUGUUUUAGUAAAUAAAUGGAA